GAUGAACGCUGGCGGCGUGCUUAACACAUGCAAGUCGAACGGAAAGGCCCAAGCUUGCUUGGGUACUCGAGUGGCGAACGGGUGAGUAACACGUGGGUGAUCUGCCCUGCACUUCGGGAUAAGCCUGGGAAACUGGGUCUAAUACCGGAUAGGACCACUUCUUGGAUGUUGUGGUGGAAAGUUUUUUCGGUGUGGGAUGAGCUCGCGGCCUAUCAGCUUGUUGGUGGGGUAAUGGCCUACCAAGGCGUCGACGGGUAGCCGGCCUGAGAGGGUGUACGGCCGCAUUGGGACUGAGAUACGGCCCAGACUCCUACGGGAGGCAGCAGGGGGGAAUAUUGCACAAGGGGCGCAAGCCUGAUGCAGCGACGCCGCGUGGGGGAUGACGGCCUUCGGGUUGUAAACUCCUUUCGCUAGGGACGAAGCGUUUUGUGACGGUACCUGGAGAAGAAGCACCGGCUAACUACGUG
rnacentral:rRNA from 1 species